GUCAGAGUUCCUGUUGCAGGUGUAUGCCAGCUGGUUCUUUUUUCUUUUUUACUGAGAUGCCUUGGGCCUUACACUUAAUAGGCAAUUUCAUUACUGACGAGUUAGGUGUCACCAGCUCUUUUUGGUUUUGUUUUGUUUUGUUGUUUUAAGAUAGGCUCUUAAUAAAUUCCUCAGGCUGGCCUUGAACUUUCCAUCCCUCUGGUCUAUCCUCCAAGUAACAGGAUUACAGGUCUGCUAUGAGCCUGGCUGGGGAGGUGGUUCAAGCCACAAGCAUGAGGACCUGCAGUUGCAUCCCUGGUGCUCACAUGAAAGCCAGGUGUGGCAGCAAGCAUGUAUAAGCCAGUGCUAGAGGAGGGCUGAGAGGGAUCCAGUAUGCCACUGCAUCCAGCCUUUUGGGUGGGGUGGGGGUGGGGUCCAGGUUUUGAACUGGGGUCAUCAGGUUUAUGCAGCAAGCACUUUUACCCACUGAGCCAUCUCGUUGGUCCUGGAAUUUUCCUUUUUUUGUUAUUUACUUGAGAUGUACUGGCAUAUAUGGGAAAGUUUUUGUUUCACACAGUAGAAAUGUGUUGUGAGUUUAGAUGGUGUUUGAGAACAUCUGGUUCCAUGCCCAUCAUAACAACAGAAAUACAAAUCCUGCCCUUUGCAAUUCCCAAGAUUACCUCCAGUAGUAGAAUAAACUAGACAUGAGCAAGCUGGAGAGUAGCAAGGACUACCUGUGACCAAGCUCUGGAACAGUUGCGCUUGAGAGCUGACAUUUGGGUGCUCAUUCGGAUUGGCCCUCAGUUUGGGGUUGGGAGGACAGUGUGCCACUGCAGAGGAAAACACGGGCCCUCCAGAAUGACUCCUGGUUCAGGUGAUUUCCUUGUCCUGUCCACGGCCCCCUGACCAGCCAGCCUCUUUCACUGAUGGCAAAUGUGUCCAACUAGAAUUCCAUGGUUGGUGUUUUUUUCCUUUGGAGUGGGGGGAAGCCUUAGGACUCUCUGGAACCCAGGUCCAUGAGCUGGGUUGCCCUUUAGAGUUAGGAAGCUGGUCUCUGAAGUUCUUGGAUUUGAGUGUUGGUGUGUGUACCGAUAGUCUUUGUGGGAGAGUGUGUAGGGCCUGGAAUCCAGGGCCUGGCACACACCUGGCAAGUGCUCUGCCGAGCCACUCCCUCACCUGGGCGCUUCUGGUAAGAGUCAAGGGCAGAAGCCACCUGCAGCUGUGUCAGGUGCUUUGGAUGUUGUUACCAGGUGAUGUUUUCUUUCCAUACAAGGAAGACAGCAUCAGGACUCUCUGGGAACAGGUCUAGAGGAGCUGGCAGGCCCAGAACACUUUGCUUCCCUUUUGGAAUAGCUUGAACAGCUUGAACUUCCUCCUACAGAGUAUGUGUGUUUUUUGACCCUGGGAUUGUCCCCAUCAACCCACAUGGGUUCUGUUUUGUUUCAGAGUCUUGUGGAGUUUCGAAGGUAGUGGGGAAAUGCCGGGCUUCCAUCCCCAGGUGGUGGUACAAUAUCACUGAUGGGUCCUGCCAGCCAUUUGUUUAUGGAGGCUGUGAAGGCAAUGGCAAUAACUACCAGAGCAAGGAGGAGUGUCUUGACAAGUGUGCUGGUGUCACUGGUAAGACUGCAGUGUGAGAAUUAGAUACUUAGGGCUCAUUGUUGGGAUGUGUACUACUUCUGUCAGAACCCGGGAUGGGGUAAGAAUCAAAAGUAGAAGCAGAACUAGUGUGCUGGUUCCUGUGGCCACACUGGUUUCACUACAGGCUCCCUACUUCUUACCAAAAAGAGUCAAGCCUAUUACCUGGCCUCCUCUGUCCCCCUCCUCCUGAGUGCAAGCACUAAGCCAGCCCACCCCAAGAGGACUGGCCUCUGCACACUCUACAGGCCCUGGUUCCUCGGGCAUCCUCUGAGACAAGUGACCUGAAAGGCUCUCAGAGCUAUGUUAGGAGUCAACACUGGAGUUUGUGCCGUGAAAUCCAUCCAUCUCUACUCUUGAAGGUAGCAUUGGCCCUUUCAGUGCAAAGAAACCUGAAGGCCCAGUAGAGCCUGAGUUCUGACCCCUCUCUGCUGUUCCCAAGGCCAAGGCUGAGUUACCCACAACGCUUUUGUGCCACCCUUCCUGGUUUGCAGAUUUGCCUGUUGACUUAAGCUGUGACUGGUUCUGUGUUGAGCCCCAGUCCCUCAUAGGUAAUGGUGUUCAUGGUUUUCUAUCCUCACUUUCUGGAUUUGAGCUCUGCAUUCAGAGAUGAGAAGGCAUCGUGAGACUGUGAAGGCAGGUCAGCAGUGGCCUCAGGCAGUGACUGGUCUCCUGCAGUGGGGUGAAGCGCCUAAGUUUGCUUGUCUGAGGAAUUGGGAGAAACUGGGGGUGGGAUGCGGAUGGACAGACAGAAUUGGUUGUAAUUUGGUGUAUUAGUCCAUGCUUUUCUUUCUGUUUUUUCUUUACUGCAUAGUCUGAGUCUUACCCUCCUUGUCUUCCUUGCCUCUGCCUCUUUUGGGACACUGGUCCCAAACUCUCAAGUGCUAAUUUUAAAGGUUCCUAGCUAGGGUAUGAUUUCAGUCCGUGCAGGCCAGUCCUCAGGGUGGCAACUGGCAUGUCAGGAAUCUGAGUAGAGAGAAUGUUGCUUCCGUGUGCUUUCCUCUCCGUUGUGGAGGCGACAGCUUGGAAAUGUUGUUUGCUCCCCUAAAGUGCUAAGGACAUGAGCAGGAAUUGGUGGGCGUAAUGCAGUCAAUAUCUCCCUGGACGUGGGUUAGAACUGGACCCCAGCUGCAAGAGCUUGGAAGGUUUCAGUGGGCAUUUGCUUGUCUGUCGUCUCCUGGCACUCUCAUGUAACACAAGCUGAAAACUGCCCGUGCCACUGAUCCCUGAAGUCCUGCCGGCCUAUUUUCUAGGCAAGCAAGUUCUGAAGGAGGCCAAAUAAGAAUGAAGGUGUGUGUUGUGCCAGUUGAUUAAUUUAUAAUGGAAACUGGAUCCUCCUAGGGGGCCCAGACUGUCUAAAACUAUGCAACCUUCUAGUGAGUGGCCAGGAAGUGGCUUGAUUACGGCAGAGGAAGACUGAGGGACCUGGAUGAGGUGACUGCUGAGUGACAUCAGGCCUGCCCCACUACCUCAAUUUGUGCUGGAGACAGAAUGGGAUGUCAGGCACUGUCUUACUCAAUUAUAGUUCCAGCUGCAAAGCUGAGAAGUCGAGGCAGGUUGGUUCCAGGAAUUAAGAGGCCAACCUAGACAAUGUAGGAAGAUGUGUCCAAAAGUGUCCAAAAAAAUCAUCAACAAUCC
rnacentral:lncRNA from 1 species